GAUGAACGCUGGCGGCGUGCCUAACACAUGCAAGUCGAGCGAGAAAUAAAGGAAUGAAGCUUCGGUAGAUUUUCUUUAUGGAAAGCGGCGGACGGGUGAGUAACGCGUAGGCAACCUGCCCUGUACAGGGGGAUAGCCACCCGAAAAGGUGAUUAAUACCCCAUAACGCAAGAGAUACACAUGUAACACUUGUCAAAGAUUUAUCGGUAUAGGAUGGGCCUGCGUCUGAUUAGCUAGUUGGUAGGGUAACGGCUUACCAAGGCAACGAUCAGUAGCCGCCUGAGAGGGUGAUCGGCCACAUUGGAACUGAGACACGGUCCAAACUCCUACGGGAGGCAGCAGUAGGGAAUAUUGCACAAUGGGCGCAAGCCUGAUGCAGCAACGCCGCGUGAAGGAUGAAGGCCUUCGGGUUGUAAACUUCUGUCCUUGGGGAAGAAACAAAUGACAUUA
rnacentral:rRNA from 1 species